rnacentral:rRNA from 1 species
UACGUAGGAGGCGAGCGUUGUCCGGAUUUACUGGGCGUAAAGCGCGCGCAGGCGGCACACUAAGUACGAUGUGAAAUCUCCCUGCUCAACGGGGGAGGGUGCAUAGUAAACUGGUGAGCUAGAGGACGGGUAGAGGGGGUGGAAUUGCUGGUGUAGCGGUGAAAUGCGUAGAUAUCUGGAGGAACACCGGUGGCGAAGGCGGCAUCCUGGACCGGCAUUGACGCUGAGGCGGCGAAAAGCGUGGGGAGCAAACAGG